AUUAAACGCUGGCGGUAUGCUUAACACAUGCAAGUCGAACGGUGAGAAAGAGCUUGCUCUUUCGAUUAGUGGCGGACGGGUGCGUAACGCGUAGGAAUCUACCUAUUAGUGGGGGACAACUUAGGGAAACUUAAGCUAAUACCGCAUACGCCCUACGGGGGAAAGAAGGGGAUCGCAAGACCUUUUGCUAAUAGAUGAACCUGCGUAGGAUUAGCUAGUUGGUGGGGUAAAAGCUCACCAAGGCGACGAUCCUUAACUGGUUUGAGAGAAUGAUCAGUCACACUGGAACUGAGACACGGUCCAGACUCCUACGGGAGGCAGCAGUGGGGAAUAUUGGACAAUGGGCGAAAGCCUGAUCCAGCAAUACCGCGUGUGUGAAGAAGGCCUUAGGGUUGUAAAGCACUUUCAAUUGGAAGGAAAACCUCGAAGCUAAUACCUUCGAGUUUGACAUUACCUUUAGAAGAAGCACCGGCUAACUCCGUGCCAGCCGCCGCCGUAA
rnacentral:rRNA from 1 species